GGGAAGGCCAGUCUACAGGUGUGUUAAAAUUGCACAAAACUAAACAUAUGCAACCAUGAAUAUUUACAAAACUAAUAAAUCUCAAUAAGUGGUGUGGGCUACACUAAUUUCAAUUCCUGGUUUUGAUUCCUAGUUGUAGAGUUAUCCCAGAUGCUGCCCUUGGCCCUUGGCGGGAGGGUGCCUGAAAGACACACGGGACCUCCCUGGACAUGUUUUGCACCUUCUUGUGAAUCCAGUAAAAGGAUAAACAACGAUACCUGCAAACUCCAUAUGCAGAUGUACAUGCGUGUGAUUACCAUCGAACUGACAGACUCUGUGAAGGAUGCUGGUGCUCGUAGGACGGCGCAGCGCUCAGAGUUCCCAGCACAGCUCAGUUUCCCGGCCACAGAAUGGGAGACAGGAUGGAACAAAAUCAGACAUUUGUGUUCAGGGCUGGAUGUUUCUCCUGCGUGGGGGCCGCAGACCAUGGUUUCGAGCUCCGACCUGAGAGCAGCGGGAGGAAGAUGCUUAGAGGCAGCGCCUGUCGAGUCUGUGAAGCAGGGUGCUGUCCUCAGACACGAUGUGAUCCUGUGGCAUGGCCGGUCGGGGCAGACCGAAGACUCGGGAGCCCAAAGGCACAGGGUGAGGAGGUAUCCCUCGGAGCAAGACACGGGGGCUGGUGACUCCGAGAGCAAACAAUGUUAGGAUACUGAGAGCCACAUGUCACGGGCCACUGCCUGGAGGGCGUCGUGCCCCCUGGGAACCACCUCCUUCAGGAACUAGAGGAAGGGAGCUGGGAAUGAAGGCUACAACUCAAGAACCCGGUGAAAGGCAUUGCCCUGAUGAGCAAACCUGGAGUGUUUCAUCUUUGUCUCAUUCCCUCCUGAUGCCUGCAGCAACCCACCAUGCAAGGUCCACACUGCUAAGGCCUCGCCUACCCAGUGGGGACGCACACUUAGACACCAAGUGGAUCUCAAGGAGGUAUCUGCACCCUGGGCUCACAGCGGGCAAGACGUGGAAGCGACCCACGUGCCCAUCCCCGGACACGAGGCAGAGGAUGAGGAGGGUACACGCAGUACAGGGCCAUGCAGCCUUUUAUAAAAGGAAGGCGACCCUGGCACGGGCUACAACUUGGGUGGGCCUGGGGCAUCGUGUUCAGUGCGAUAGUCCAGUCACAGCAGGAUGAAGGCCGCAUGAUUCCACUGACACGUAGAACCUAAAAUUGCAGCCCACAUACCGGGCAGUAGGCGGUGCUGCUGCGGGCUGGGAGUGAGGAAAUGGGGAGAUGCUCCCCAGUGACCUCAGCUACUUGGGUGAGUAAGUCCCAGGGACCUGCAUGCA
rnacentral:lncRNA from 1 species